CACGUAGGGCGCAAGCGUUGUCCGGAAUUAUUGGGCGUAAAGGGCUCGUAGGCGGUCUGUUGCGUCCGCUGUGAAAACUCGGGGCUUAACCCCGAGCCUGCAGUGGAUACGGGCAGACUAGAGGUAGGUAGGGGAGAAUGGAAUUCCCGGUGUAGCGGUGAAAUGCGCAGAUAUCGGGAGGAACACCGGUGGCGAAGGCAGCUUGCUACACUGUUAUUGACACUGAGGCACGAAAGCGUGGGGAUCAAACAGG
rnacentral:rRNA from 1 species